rnacentral:SRP_RNA from 1 species
GCCAGGCACAGUGGCACAUACCUGUAAUCCCAGCUACUCAAGAGGCUGAGGCGGGAGGAGUUCUGGGCUGUAGUGUGCUAUGCCAAUCAGGUGUCCACACUAAGUCUGGCAUCAGUAUGGUGACCUCCAGGCAGUGGGGUACCACCAGGUUGCCUGAGGAGAGUGAACUGGCCCAGGUCAGAGAUGGAGCAGGUGAAAACGGUGAUGAUCAGUAGUGGACUUGUGUCUGUGAACAGCCACUACACUCCAGUCUUGGGAACAUAGCAAGACCUGGUCUCU